UGUGUCGCAAACGCAUGCACUGAUAAUAUUGAGGCGAUCGUUAAUUGCUAAUUAUGAUUUUUACUAUAGCAAUCCUGUUAUAAGUGUUUCUGUUUAUCGUACCACUGAAAUCAUUUAACGAAAAAUGGCAUUACGACGUGUAUUUAUUGCAUUUCAAACUGUUGGCAAUUUAAGAAAAAUUGGUGGAGAAAUGAAACUACAUUUUCGAUCAAAAACAACAACACCUUCGGGUGCUAUUUUACCGGAACCAAAAAGAACACGUUUCGGCUUUUUGGGUGUCAUCUCCAGUGUAACAAUAGGAUUAAUCAUAGGAACUACUUUAAGCAAAAUGAUAGCUAACUUUCUUGAAGAAAAAGAACUUUUCAUACCUUCUGAUGAUGACGACGAUGAUGAUUAAUUUGGAGCCUCUCACAGUUAAAUACAUUUCGAUAGUGAAAUACCAAAAUAGACUGCUGCCCAAGCUUUGUUCGUGAAUCAAAUGAGUAUAUUUCAUUCCCACAUAUCGUCUUCUAUUUUAUGAUCUACGACGAUGCAUGAAAAGGGACAAGAUUGAGUAAGGAAUUCAACCUGUGGACACACAUGUUGUGUUGUAAUUUUACUUUCACAAAUGUGUAAAAAUCACACGAUAUAUUGUUUAUUAAUUAUUUUUCUUGAAAGAUGG